AAUACCAGGUGCACACACACAAGUUUAUUUAUAAAGCAGAUUAUGUCUAAUAGGCCUACUAGCCCAAAACCUAAAAUAAAGGAAGGGGAUGUUUAUGAAUGGUCUUUUUACCAAAUGAGGACAACCAAAAUGUCUUAAGAAUGUAUGUAUCUUACUGAUGUGAAUUUCUGAUGUUGUGUUGAGAUCUUAGGCAUGAGCUGAUAAUCAGACAGACACAGACGAGACAGUGAAGUGAUUCUCACUUGUAUUCUGGAGAAGAUAUGAUUGAUUCCUCUACUUAUCUUCCACAGUCUCCUCUGAGACUUCUGGCGAUCUGUGAAUGUACAAUUAGAAGAACAGCACUGUUUUACAGGGCACUGAUUUUAACCUCUAUUUACUAUUACUAUUUAUAGCUUUUAAAAAUGUAGAAAGGGCUGUAAAGAUUUUUAUUUUUUAAUUUGUAAUUAAGUGUUUCAUGAACACCACUGUUUUUUGUGUUUGCAUAAUGAACAGGCUGUUUUCUGAUCACCUCAAAGCCACAGAAAACAGAUGAAGGUUUAGCGUCUGGUUAAUUUUUUUCUAUGACCAACACAAAGACAUAUUUAGGAAACCCACAAUGAGGCACAUAACUCUGAACAAUAAGCAGAACAUUGUUUGUGAGCAAAAAUUGAAAGAAUAGAAAAAAAAAAACAAA